AUAUCAAUAAGCGGAGGAAAAGAAACCAACAGGGAUUGCCUCAGUAACGGCGAGCGAAGCGGCAAAAGCUCAAAUUUGAAAUCUGGCGCUUUCAGCGUCCGAGUUGUAAUUUGAAGAAGCAACUUUGGGGUUGGCCUUUGCACAUGUUCCUUGGAACAGGACAUCAUAGAGGGUGAGAAUCCCGUACAUGGUGAGGUGCCCAACCCUUUGUAAAGUGCUUUCCAAGAGUCGAGUUGUUUGGGAAUGCAGCUCUAAGUGGGUGGUAAAUUCCAUCUAAGGCUAAAUAUUGGCGAGAGACCGAUAGCGAACAAGUACAGUGAUGGAAAGAUGAAAAGAACUUUGAAAAGAGAGUGAAAUAGUACGUGAAAUUGUUGAAAGGGAAGGGCUUGAAAUCAGACUUGGCUUGUAGUAUCAACUGUCUCUUGGGACUGUGCACUCGCUGCUUGCUAGGCCAACAUCGGUUUUGGCGGUAAGAUAAUGUCAGUUGAAUGUGGCUCAUUCGUGAGUGUUAUAGCUUCUGUCGAUAUUGCCAGCUGGGACCGAGGACUGCGC
rnacentral:rRNA from 1 species